UUACGGCCACAUCAUGUCGCAACACCAGUUCCCAUACGAUCACCGAAGUUAAGCAACGUUGAGCCUGGUCAAUAGCUAGUGGGUGACCACUUGGGAAUACCAGGUGCCGUAAG